AGAAUCAACGCUGGCGGCGUGCCUAACACAUGCAAGUCGAACGAGAAAGUGGAGCAAUCCAUGAGUAAAGUGGCGCACGGUGAGUAACACGUGACUAACCUACCCUUGAGUGGGGGAUAACCUAGAGAAAUCUGGCUAAUACCGCAUAAUACCUUCGGGUCAAAGGAGCAAUUCGCUUAAGGAGGGGUCGCGGCCGAUUAGUUAGUUGGCGGGUAAUGGCCCACCAAGACUGUGAUCGGUA
rnacentral:rRNA from 1 species